GGAAGCAUUAAUUUUUUGUUGUUGUUGUUGUUAAUCAAGUCCAUUUCUCCCUGCUGUCUUCUAGAGCCCUCCCAACCUCCCAUGUAGGAGGGGGUGGGAGGGUGGGGGGGCUCAUGGAGGUGUGCUUGGAGUGGACCUCUGUUACUGUCUAGAAGUACUGCUGGUUGCCUCUAGCAUGUCUGCCUUGGGGAAGAUUCAGGGCUCCAGCAGAGCCAUCAAAUAUUUCUUCUUCAGAUCAAUUGGACAAAGGAGGUUAGCGUCCAUAUACCCUGUAGGCCUGUUGUCCAGAAAAGAAUUCGUCUUCCUGUUAAACAUUGCAACAAACUAGUUCGACAGGACUCUGCAGCAUUGAGGCAGCCAGGUCAGCAGGAGUCAGCGACCCUGGGUCACUAGAUCCCCCCAGUGUUGGAGCUAGUAGGUCACAGUGACAUCCAACGGAUUCAUUAACAUAGCAAUUGGGGAAAAAAGACUAGAAGGCCGGGCUUCCAGCGAGCGCCACGCUUUUGUUUUAAAUCCCCACACAGAAUCC
rnacentral:lncRNA from 1 species